AGACCGAUAACCGGGUAUUAUUGGGGCGUAAGCGCGCGCAGGCGGUUUCUUAAGUCUGAUGUGAAAGCCCACGGCUCAACCGUGGAGGGUCACUGGAAACUGGGGAACUUGAGUGCAGAAGAGAAAAGCGGAAUUCCACGUGUAGCGGUGAAAUGCGUAGAGAUGUGGAGGAACACCAGUGGCGACUGCCUCUUUUUGGUCUGUAACUGACGCUGAGGCGCGAAAGCGUGGGUUGCAAAC
rnacentral:rRNA from 1 species